UCAAACUGAAGAUGGCGACCGGCGCACGGGUGAGUAACACGUAUCCAACCUGCCGAUGACUCGGGGAUAGCCUUUCGAAAGAAAGAUUAAUACCCGAUGGCAUAGUUCUUCCGCAUGGUGGAACUAUUAAAGAAUUUCGGUCAUCGAUGGGGAUGCGUUCCAUUAGGUUGUUGGCGGGGUAACGGCCCACCAAGCCUUCGAUGGAUAGGGGUUCUGAGAGGAAGGUCCCCCACGUUGGAACUGAGACACGGUCCAAACUCCUACGGGAGGCAGCAUG
rnacentral:rRNA from 1 species